UUUUGGUGAGUAACCCCUGGGAUUUUUGCCCAGAAGCGGGGGAUAACACCUGGAAACAGAUGCUAAUACCGCAUAACAACUUGGACCGCAUGGUCCGAGUUUGAAAGAUGGCUUCGGCUAUCACUUUUGGAUGGUCCCGCGGCGUAUUAGCUAGAUGGUGGGGUAACGGCUCACCAUGGCAAUGAUACGUAGCCGACCUGAGAGGGUAAUCGGCCACAUUGGGACUGAGACACGGCCCAAACUCCUACGGGAGGCAGCAGUAGGGAAUCUUCCACAAUGGACGAAAGUCUGAUGGAGCAACGCCGCGUGAGUGAAGAAGGGUUUCGGCUCGUAAAACUCUGUUGUUAAAAGAAGAACAUAUUCUGAGAGUAACUGUUCAGGUAUUGACGGUAUUUAACCAGAAAGCCACGGCUAACUACGUGCCAGCAGCCGCGGUAAUACGUAGGUGGCAAGCGUUGUCCGGAUUUAUUGGGCGUAAAGCGAGCGCAGGCGGUUUUUUAAGUCUGAUGUGAAAGCCUUCGGCUCAACCGAAGAAGUGCAUCGGAAACUGGGAAACUUGAGUGCAGAAGAGGACAGUGGAACUCCAUGUGUAGCGGUGAAAUGCGUAGAUAUAUGGAAGAACACCAGUGGCGAAGGCGGCUGUCUGGUCUGUAACUGACGCUGAGGCUCGAAAGUAUGGGUAGCAAACAGGAUUAGAUACCCUGGUAGUCCAUACCGUAAACGAUGAAUGCUAAGUGUUGGAAGGGUUUCCGCCCUUCAGUGCUGCAGCUAACGCAUUAAGCAUUCCGCCUGGGGAGUACGGCCGCAAGGCUGAAACUCAAAGGAAUUGACGGGGGCCCGCACAAGCGGUGGAGCAUGUGGUUUAAUUCGAAACUACGCGAAGAACCUUACCAGGUCUUGACAUACUAUGCAAAUCUAAGAGAUUAGACGUUCCCUUCGGGGACAUGGAUACAGGUGGUGCAUGGUUGUCGUCAGCUCGUGUCGUGAGAUGUUGGGUUAAGUCCCGCAACGAGCGCAACCCUUAUUAUCAGUUGCCAGCAUUAAGUUGGGCACUCUGGUGAGACUGCCGGUGACAAACCGGAGGAAGGUGGGGAUGACGUCAAAUCAUCAUGCCCCUUAUGACCUGGGCUACACACGUGCUACAAUGGAUGGUACAACGAGUUGCGAACUCGCGAGAGUAAGCUAAUCUCUUAAAGCCAUUCUCAGUUCGGAUUGUAGGCUGCAACUCGCCUACAUGAAGUCGGAAUCGUUAGUAAUCGCGGAUCAGCUUGCCACGGGGAACC
rnacentral:rRNA from 1 species